rnacentral:rRNA from 1 species
UACAGAGGUCCCGAGCGUUGUUCGGAUUCACUGGGCGUAAAGGGUGCGUAGGUGGCGAGGUAAGUCGGAUGUGAAAGCUCGGAGCUCAACUCCGAAAUGGCAUUGGAAACUAUCCGGCUCGAGGGUUGGAGGGGGGACUGGAAUACUUGGUGUAGCAGUGAAAUGCGUAGAUAUCAAGUGGAACACCAGUGGCGAAGGCGAGUCCCUGGACAAACCCUGACACUGAGGCACGAAAGCCAAGGGAGCAAACAGG